GUGAAAACACAAGUCGGUUGUCUGUGCUGGUGGAAACACAUGUGCACGACGGCUGCAAAUCCACACACCUGUGCACCUUUGACUAUGGGAUUCGCUUGUUCCGACUUGCAGCUGGUCGAUAUUGUGUCGAUUGGAAUCUCAUGGUAUUUUUUACACACUCUAAAGUAAUGGAAUGUCUUUGUGCAUAACGCAUAUAAAUA
rnacentral:misc_RNA from 1 species